UGAGGGGCAAUACCCUUGCAGCUGCUGCAGCAUUGCCACGUGGCCAACUGCCUCCUGAAUCUCCUUCCAUCCAUUGUCAUCAAUCUGGGUUUUGGGUCUCCAGGAAGCUCUAAAUGAGAACAACCUGUAAAAGUAUACUGGCAAUGAAUUUGCAAAAGCUGCAAACACAGAAAACCAAAGGCAGACUUCUCUCUUCCAUGCUUCAUCUGGACUUGGUUAAUCAAGAGAGAGAGACACACAUCUCCAAGAAAAGACCCAUUCAAUCCAGGCAGGUACUUAAGGCAGGAGCCAUCUCCAGUGACCCUGUCGCCGUCACCGCUGAUGGUCAGGGUGUCCACCUCCUCCAAACAUCUGCAGCAAUCAUCUUUCUUCAGGUCACGGGAAGGACACAGGGCCUGAAAAGGUCACUGAGGGGACAUGGGGUGAGCUCAGCUGGGCUGAUGUUCUAGCACCCUGCCCCAGGCUGCCUUCAAGGAUGCCGCAGCCACCAUCAGUCAGGACGGGUCCCAAGGGCGCCACCAGCCUGACAUUCACUCUCAGCUGCGGCAGGGUGGAGACCGGAGUCUGCCUCAUUGUAAAAAGCCAGCGUUGACCUGCUCAACAGUUUCAAGGUGCAUACCUGCUCUUUCCUGCUCUCCCUCUUUUCAAGUGGUGAGAAAUUAACUUCCUAAUUUCUAUCCGAAUUUUGAUUCUGGGAACUUCCUGUUCUGUUUUGGGGUUUUUUUACAUAACAAAAGAAAAAGACAGGAGAAAAUAUUUUUAUAAUCCUAAGCCUAAAGAAUUGCCUUCAAAAUGGUCCAAAACUGAUAGAUAAACAGUCAUUUUAAUGCCCUUUGAAACAUUUCUUUUGACUACAGGAGUAUGCAUCCCUCAGAUUUAUUUUAUUUCAUCCUCAAGGACCUUGGUGAAAUACAGUACAUUGGAGGCAAAAUAAGAUCAAGGCGUGCAGUCAUUCAGGCUGUAAUUAAAUUUAAUAGGCAGUUUAUCCAGUUCAUAGAAAGACGGCAGAGCAGAGAGCUACACAAAGCAGAGCCUAAAGCAGGAAAUCAUUUUACAAUAGGGUAUCCAUCUGGAAAGAAGACAUUGCAUGAAACCAGCAAGUGUGAACAAAAUCUCCAUCAGUAUCAUAUGAGCUUACUUCAUCACGCUGCAGUGCUGGCAGUGGGAAGUUUGACGUGUCUGCUAUGAAGAGUAAUGCACGGCCCUCUUAGCAAAUGUAAAUCUAACUCACUGCUGUGCAAACUGAGGAGAAGGAGCAGUUAAUAAAAUACAAAACAACUGGCUGUUUUACUACACCUGGUGCCAGAUUCCUGUGCUGGAGUUUAACUCUGAGAUGCCACAAACGAGAAGAGUUUUAACAUUUUAUGUGGUAACUGAUUUAGCUGCAAGCACCAGAGAAAACAGCUAGAUUUUUAGUGGCAUUCUGAGCAUGUAAGAAGAAAACUGACUCAGUGUCAGUGUACAGGUUGAACAACAAAGCACAGAGUGAAAAAAAAGCAUGUCAGAAGAAGAAACUCUGAUUACAUUUGUCUGGGGAUCUCCUCUAACCACACUGUGGAAAAGCUGCUAUGACUUUUCCUGAACAUUUUAACGAAGCAGUUUCUUGCGUGUCUUUUCCAGGAGCAGGCUUGCAUGGGUUUCAAGCCUAUGUACCAGUGCACAUAUGGUGAAACAAUACUGUAAUGCACCCUAGUGGCAUCUUUAUCAGUGGAAAAGGCCAAUCUUGCUAUGAAAUCCAAUUAAACAGCCAUUUUUGCCACAUAAAUUGAUCCCAUUUUCUCCAUCACUUUU